rnacentral:lncRNA from 1 species
CUUUUUUUUUUUUUUUUUUUUUUUUUUUUUUUACCCCUGAAAAACACUGAAAUAGAGACUGUUCACCUGGCCUCUUUAUCCAUGAGGCGUCUGCCUUUGGCCCAGGUCUGUUUUCUUAAAAGGCUAAAGCAAAUGGCAGUGCCCAUUCACAGAGAUAUUUAAGUAUAGGAACAUAUCAAGUGAAUUUAAAACAUACUGUCUAAAAAAUAAAAAUAAAAUAAAAAUAAAUAAAUAAAUAAAUAAAUAAAUAAAUAAAUAAAUAAAACAUACUGUCUACUUUCAACACUGUCCCUCUUCCCUCUAGAAUGGACCACAGUGGCUGACAGUGGUGUAGACUGUACCAGUAUCCCCAUGAUCUUAAUUUGACUGCAACUCUGGAAAGCCCUUGGUACUGUGUUUGCCACAAAACCCAAGCCAGGUGUCAGUUUAAGGACCUGGAACUCCAGCAAUCUUUAGGGAGAAUAUGCCCAAUGAUAUAAUGCGAUUUUUACAACAAAAGCUUAAGAUACACAGCUCAAGAGAGGACUCUUGAUUAGAACGUGUUCGAUUACUGUCCUACCUCAGCAGAGUAUCAACUCUACCUUGUUACUUCCACAACAUCUAAAUGCAUAUUUGUAUAAGAUAAUCUACACUUUACUAUUAGUAAUCUUUAUGGGAAAAAAAUCUCUUUUUGGACUGUGUUUUUAAAAUACAAGAUUGCUAGCCAAUUCAUCUGUGAACCUACAGUACUGACCAGCCAAUUGAUUCUCAGUCCUCUAACCCCACCCCCCAAAAUUGGAGCAACUUCUAUAUUCCAAAGACCUUACUACCAGUGGAAAACUAGUGACCUCCUCCCCCAAGCUCUUCAAAGAAAACUAGAAGUGGAAAAAAAGCAAUUUAUAAAAUGCUACUUAUGAAAGCACUGCUUUUACCACAAAGUUUUAACAUAAUGAUAAAUUAUGUUUUAUUGAUAAUAACCAUAGAAAUUAUUCAGUCUCAAGGCUGGGCCAAAAAAAGGCAAUUUCCCUGGCCCAAGGAGAAAUAUAACACGACUAACAAGCCACUGUAUACUGAUGUUCCUCCUAAAACUGGAGGAUGGGUGAGUCACGGUGUAUCUUGGAGGACUGUCCAUCUUCUACUUUCAGUUAAAACUCACUUAGAUUGUGAUACAAAGCUCAGGUUCUUAACCUGUCCACUGAAAGGCAGACAUGUAUCUAAAUCCUACCUGCGGCAUUGAUAGACUUUGCAGUUUGUGCAAAUCCUGUACUUCCCCACGGUUCUGUUUCCUCAUCUAUAAAAUGACAGUGAUCAAAGAACUAAGAACCUAAGCUAUGAAGUUGUACGAGAAUAAAAUACGUGAAGAGCUUGGCACAGUGCUAAGAUGCGGGACAAUUUUUUUUUUCAAUAAAACAUAACAGCUGCUACGACUGUCAUUAUGAUCUGAUCACAACUUGGCCAUCCAGGAGCAUUUCCCUACAGAGGGGUAAAGCAAUGACUGGAAAACACUGGCAUCUAUCACCACUGAAUUUUAAUUUCUUCUCAGUGACAACACUGGAACUUCAGAUUAUACUUCAACCUCUUAUAGGUUUAACUAAUAGAAAAUAUCUUAUAUCCUGACUCAUUUUGAAGAAUGCAGACAAAAAUUAGGUUUCUGGUCUUUCCAUGGCAUCACUAUGGACUAACUGCAACACUUAAAUUUCCUAAGUUGGGGAUCCCUGGAUGGCUCAGCUGUUGGGCGUCUGCCUUUGGCCCAGGUGUGAUGCUGGAGACCCAGGAUCGAGUCCCACAUCGGGCUCCUUGCAUGGGGCCUGCUUCUCCCUCUGCCUCUCUCUCUCUCUCUAUCAUGAAUAAAUAAAUAAAAUCUUAAAAAAAAAUAAAAAUAAAUUUCCUAAGUCAAGUCUUGGCCCAAGUUUUAGUUCUUGUGGAAGUGGAAUUUAUGUCUCCCAGGCUCCAAUGUACACGGUCUUCCCCCAAAAAGGAUAAUUGAACACGGGAGAAGGUGAGAGGGACACAAUACCAUGUUUCUCAAUCCCCUUUCCAUAACAUUUACAUUAAUUAUUAUUAUUCAGCAACUCGGUGAAAUUUAAAUUUAUACACCAAGAUCUUGUGUGCAAGCCCAAAAAUCUUGCAAUCUUUUUUUUUUUUUUAAUUAUAGGUUUAUAUGCUUCCCAGGGGGUAAAAAAAGCCCACAAAAAUCACAUCUGAUUUCUAUGGCAGAGAGUGCUUCAAAGUGCUUCAAAGUGAUGUUCAAGUAAUCACAGAUACAAAUAUUCAUUUCAAUCGUUUUUCAAUUUUGCUUUCCCUUCACGGUGAUAACAGUUCCAUUUUCAACCACGCCUUUUGGUCAUACACUAGUGAGUUUUAGAAUAGAUAGCAACUUGGUGUGGUUCAUUUAAUUCUGCUGGUAAUAAGUCCAUAGCAUUUUGACAGCUAUCUUUCCACCAGAUUUCCCCUUUUGAAAGUAAGAUCUCCAAAAUCCUCCCCUUUAAAUUCUCCAAAAUUAAAGAACCUAGACCUUAGGGAUUUUAAGCAUUGUUAUGCCACUUUACAGUCACACAACUCUGAAGCUUCUGAAAUCAGAUAAUAAAUCUAGCAAACUAACGAAACUAAAGAAAUCAGAUAAAAGAAAAAAGCCUUUAUAACUGCCUGACACCAAGUUCUUUUGUUCUUGUUGUUAUAUUGGGUUAGCAGAAAGGAGUGAAGAUAUAUCCCAGGCCUGUGCUGUCAAUGUCAUCACGUCUAACGCUUGGCUGAAACAAAAAAUUUCCUCGUGAUCAUGCUAACAAGUGAAAAAUAAACCAAGACAUUUUCUUGAAAGAAAAAAAAAAAAAGAGCAAUUAUUUUGUUUUUAAUCUUUUUAGAAAGUGCAUGUUAGAAAUUAACUAUAAUAAGAUAGCAGCACUUUACUAAAAACUGAAAUACAACUCCUCAUAUAACAAUAAAUAAAAGAAAUUCCCCUUCUCCCCCCAAAAACCAAACAAGAUAUGAGAAGACAAUAAAUUUUAGUACAUGUACAGAACUGCCUCACUGAAACUAUAUUCUGGAGGGGGGGUGGUGGUUGCAAAACAUCUUUCCCAAGGACUUUCCACAGGUUCAGUUUUAGAGGGAAAAAUAAUAGGUCCAUCCUUCUAAUAUGUUCACAAUCCAAUCCUAAUUCUGGAAAUGUCACGCUUCCUUUCUUCAAUUUUGUUUUUCAGAGAAUUAAAUACAAAGUGGUGCAACUAUAUAAAAUGAUAAAACCUUGAAAGAAUCUUUCAUGCAAAUCUUGGUCUUUCUCCCUAAACCUAUGUCCAACUACCUAGAUUCUUGUAGACGGCAGACCGUAUUCUUCAGUGAAGAACAGACUCUCCAGAACUCCAGACUCACUCAGAAUCCUUAUCAGAGUGUUUGAGGAGUGCUCUUAAUAGUACUUAAAUUGAAGAACAAUUGUAGUCAAGAUACAAAGCAAGACAAAGAGGAUGAGAUGACUGUGAGAGCCAACUAGUGUAGGAAGCCAUUCGCUACUUACCAACUAGCUUUGAGCUAGGAACAAAUAGUAGAAAAAUACUAAGAGAGCAACUCAAUAAAUUUGCAGUAAGAUCUACUAUCAUCUUCCGAUGUUUCAACCACCACCUUAACAAGUUCACGGCUAUAUUAGGGACACUCAGGAAAUGUACCCUUUAAAAAUGUUAUGCAGUUUCUCUUAGAUUUGUUUCAAGGAAGAGGAAACACUCGUCUACACUCGUCUACACUCGUCUACACUCCUCUUACUCAGCCUGUGGUACCAUCUUACUUUCUAGAGGUAAAAUAUCUCUUGCUUCGGAAAUUAUAAUCUUCUGUCCCUUAGAAUAACCUCUGAAUCAUCCCAAACACCUAAAUCUAAGAACCUACUUGCCUAUUCAAAUUUGUAUUUGAUUAAAUUAAUUGGGGAAGAAUGAAGCUCCCUUUGCCAGAGCUGAUUGUCCGUAGAGGCAAAAAUGGGAAGGAAAACAGACAGAGAUAGAGAGACAAAGACAGAUGUUCAAAGCCCACACUAAAAUUAGAUAAAUUCUGAUUUCCCCCCUCCCUCAGUCUCAAAGAUUUGUUUCCCUACAUUGCCAUUUUAUUUCCCAUGUCAGUAGAACCUUAAUAGAUAGAAAAUAUUAAGUAGCCCACAUUUCAAAACUAAUUCCUGGAAUAUAUCAUUUUAUUUUAUUUUAUUUUAUUUUAUUUCAUUUUAUUUUUAUUAUUUUUUUAGGAAUAUAUCAUUUUAAAAACCAAAUGAUGAAGGAAAUUCUUAUUUUAUCACCGAGAAGUUAUUUUCUUGGUGAUAAAUAGGCAGGACUUUAAUAUGAUUAAAGAAGAACCUCUUACAUACCAUAAUUGUUAGACACAUAAAAGAUUUUUCUUUCUUCAGACACAACAUGAAAAUAACCUUGAACGGCAACAAAAACACAUUUCAAUAAGUCAAAAUUAAAUUCCCUUUUAAUUACCCUACACCAUCUGAUAAACUCAACCUUCUUAAAUGGAUUUUUAAGAAAGUAAAUCGUAGAAACUGGUUCAAAUAAUUAAAGCUAUGCAAGCAAAAUGGUUGAUGCCCUCAAUGAAAUAGUUGAAUUUUUUGGAGUCAUUGUUUAGAUACGUAAGGAAAAAAAAAAACACUAAAUUGAAGAAAUAGGUUGAAGUUCUUACAUAAAAGAUUGUAGGGAGUGUUCGCAACCUUUUAUAAUAAUUGCUUGGACAGGCAACUGCCUUUUUCAAAUGACAUUUCAUUUACACAUUUCAACUUAGAAUAUAGAAAACAUGAUUUUUAUAGACUGUGUUUUGUGUUAGAAAGGAUAAUGUGAGAAAAACAAAACACAAACAAGAAAUUAUCAAACCCAGAAAAAGUAAAAACAAACAAACAAACAAACACACAGCUUUUGAGCCCGGAUUACAUCACAGCUUACUCUACCUGGAGCAGAAUUUCACAUUCCAUAAAACCUACUCACAUUCCAUGAAAAUAGCUUUGGGUUUUACACUCAUUUCCAUAAUUUAAUGAUAAUGUGAAAGGCUGAGAUUCGAACCCAAGUGGCUCCAACUCUG